UACGGAAGGCAGCAGUGGGGAAUAUUGCACAAUGGGCGCAAGCCUGAUGCAGCCAUGCCGCGUGUAUGAAAAAGGCCUUCGGGUUGUAAAGUACUUUCAGUCGUGAGGAAGGUGUUAAGGUUAAUAACCUUAGCAAUUGACGUUAGCGACAGAAGAAGCACCGGCUAACUCCGUGCCAGCAGCCGCGGUAAUACGGAGGGUGCGAGCGUUAAUCGGAAUUACUGGGCGUAAAGGGCACGCAGGCGGUUAAUUAAGUUGGAUGUGAAAUCCCCGGGCUUAACCUGGGAAUGGCAUUCAAGACUGGUUAGCUAGAGUCUUGUAGAGGGGGUAGAAUUCCGAUGUGUAGCGGUGAAAUGCGUAGAGAUGUGGAGGAAUACCGGUGGCGAAGGCGGCCCCUGGGACAAAGGCUGACGCUCAUGUGCGAAAGCGUGGGGAGCAAACAGGGAUUAGAUACC
rnacentral:rRNA from 1 species